CCUACGGGUGGCAGCAGUGGGGAAUAUUGGGCAAUGGAGGCAACUCUGACCCAGCAAUGCCGCGUGAGUGAUGACGGUAAUUUUAUUGUAAAGCUCUUUUCUUUCGAACGAAUAAAUGACGGUACCAAAGGAAUAAGCACCGGCUAACUACGUGCCAGCAGCCGCGGUCAUACGGAGGGGGCAAGCGUUGCUCGGAAUGACUGGGGGUAAAGGGUGUGUAGGUGGUUUGUUAAGUUAAGUGUGUAAUACCCAGGGCUUAACUCGGGUGCUGCAUCUAAAACUGUUAGACUUGAGUACUGGUGAGGAUAGUGGAAUUUCUAGUGUAGCGGUGGAAUGCGUAGAUAUUAGGAGGAACAUCAGUUGCGAAGGCGACUAUCUGAACAGCAUCUGACACUGAGGCACGAAAGCGUGGGGAGCAAACAGGAUUAGAUACCCCAGUAGUC
rnacentral:rRNA from 1 species